GGAGUCGGACCUGCCCGGUGAAGAUUUUUAACGGCCGCGGUACUCUGACCGUGCAAAGGUAGCAUAAUCAUUUGCCUUAUAAUUGAAGGCUAGUAUGAAUGGUUUGACAAGAAUAUAACUGUCUCUCUGCAGUUUUUUAGAAUUUUAUUUAUGGGUGAAGAAGCCUAUAUUCAAUUAAUAGACAAGAAGACCCUAUCGAGCUUGAAAGAAAUUGGUGAAAUAAAGCAAACAAAUAAGUAACUAAAAUGUAGGUCACUAAAUAUUUUAGUUGGGGCGACUGAGGAACAAAAAAAGCUUCCUUUAUAAAUAUAUAAAGCCAAACGAGCUUUGAUCCAAAAAAUUUUGAUUAAAGAAAUUAGUUACCGUAGGGAUAACAGCAUAAUCCUUUUUGAGAGCUCCUAUCGAAAAAGGGGUUUGUGACCUCGAUGUUGGACCAGAAUAUCCUAAAGAUGUAGCAGUCUUUAAGGG
rnacentral:rRNA from 1 species